AAGUUCCACGGUAAACCCUGGAACUUGAAAAUGGAACUUUUUAUUAGUCUUACCCCCGACAAAAAUUAGGCCUUGCCCUAAUUUUUUUUCAAUCAUCUCUUCGCGUCGCUCGCCUGCUAUACUCUUCUUCUUUCUCGUCUUCCACUCUCUUCUUCCUUCCUCGCCUGUAACAGCUGCUGCUACUGUGCGCUUGUCAUUCUCUUCUUCCUUCCUCGCCUACCACUCUCUUUUUCCUUCCUCGCUUGCAACAAGCUGAUGCUACUGUGCGAAGCCUGAAGUCAUCAUCGGCGAUUGCUCUUUUUUCUCGCCAUUGAAGCACAAUCACUCAAAAAAGAUCGCAUCAAGGAUUAGAGCGUGGAAGAUGUCCGAAAGAUAUUUGGAAUUGAAAAUAAUUUUUCUCAUGAAGAAGAGGAUGUAGUGAUGAAGGACAAUGUGUGGGCUUUUGAAUGAGUCCCCCAUGAAUCCCAAAUUUUUUGUUUUAGAUCCUUAUUAUUUUGGUAAUUGGUAUCAGAGUGGGAGUUUAAGUAUGGUUGGAUUAGUGUGAGUUGUAGAUUUUAUAAAGGCAUUGUGCCUCUCUCACAUUAUUUAGAACAUUAUUUAGAAAUAUGUUCUAGUCACAAGUAGUAGUUGAUUGUUAAAUAUCUCACUUUAGCAGUUGAUUGUUAAAGAUCCCAUUUAUUGGUCUUUAGAACGAGGCAGAUGAAUAUUUACUUGGAUC